CAAUGAGUUAUAUUGAAAGGUUGAGUGCAUUAUAGUUUUGUGUGUUUUUAUUUAGUGUUUGUUUUUUUCAUACCUACUCCUUUAGGCUAACCGGCAGCUGGGACGCGAAACCUACCAGAGAGUGGCAGCAUUUAUGUGUCAUGAUGCUAACACAGCCAAAAGAUUUUACCAAGCGGAGGAUCCAGCAGAGGUCACACUCCGGAGCAGAGCAUUGACCACACGAGCAAUAUCAACAUAUGCAGCAAAAAAAGAGGAGGAGCAGGAGUCAUCGGGACCAGAUGAACCUGUGAGGAGAAGGCUGUACCAGCAGCACAGAAAAAAGAUGGUGAGAACAGCUGAAGAGGAGGGUGCAGGUGAUGUAAAAACAGCACUGGAUCAAACAGCAGAGAAUUCAGAAGAGGAGGAUGACACCAUGGCACAAAUAACUUACCAAUUGCGCAGAAAAAUCUUGCCCCCAAACCAGCAGAAAAAAGUAGAGGGUUGUUUGGAUCAUUUCAUGAGCUUUCAAUCAUGACAAAUGUUUUUUUUUGUCCUUUCCCUUUUCUAUAAACAGAAGACAGUGUCCUUCAAAGAGGAUGAUGGGAUGGACCAUCAUGGGGUUGAGUGCCCCGUCCUGCAAAGAGGAGUGAGAGUUCAGUACUUCCGCAGA